rnacentral:rRNA from 1 species
AACGAACGCUGGCGGCAUGCCUAACACAUGCAAGUCGAACGAGACCUUCGGGUCUAGUGGCGCACGGGUGCGUAACGCGUGGGAAUCUGCCCUCUGGUACGGAAUAACUCAGGGAAACUUGAGCUAAUACCGUAUAAUGACUUCGGUCCAAAGAUUUAUCGCCUGAGGAUGAGCCCGCGUAGGAUUAGCUAGUUGGUGAGGUAAAAGCUCACCAAGGCGACGAUCCUUAGCGGUCUGAGAGGAUGAUCAGCCACACUGGGACUGAGACACGGCCCAGACUCCUACGGGAGGCAGCAGUGGGGAAUAUUGGACAAUGGGGGAAACCCGUCAUCCAGCAAUGCCGCGUGAGUGAUGAAGG